rnacentral:rRNA from 1 species
UUAAUUAAGAGUUUGAUCCUGGCUCAGGACGAACGCUGGCGGCACGCUUAACACAUGCAAGUCGAACGAGAGAAGAGGAGCUUGCUUUUCUGAUCUAGUGGCGGACGGGUGAGUAACACGUGAGCAAUCUGCCUUUCAGAGGGGGAUACCGAUUGGAAACGAUCGUUAAUACCGCAUAAUAUAAUUGAACCGCAUGAUUUGAUUAUCAAAGAUUUAUCGCUGAAAGAUGAGCUCGCGUCUGAUUAGCUAGUUGGUAAGGUAACGGCUUACCAAGGCGACGAUCAGUAGCCGGACUGAGAGGUUGAUCGGCCACAUUGGGACUGAGACACGGCCCAGACUCCUACGGGAGGCAGCAGUGGGGAAUAUUGCACAAUGGAGGAAACUCUGAUGCAGCGAUGCCGCGUGAGGGAAGAAGGUUUUAGGAUUGUAAACCUCUGUCUUCAGGGACGAAAAAAGACGGUACCUGAGGAGGAAGCUCCGGCUAACUACGUGCCAGCAGCCGCGGUAAUACGUAGGGAGCGAGCGUUGUCCGGAAUUACUGGGUGUAAAGGGAGCGUAGGCGGGAUCGCAAGUCAGAUGUGAAAACUAUGGGCUUAACCCAUAAACUGCAUUUGAAACUGUGGUUCUUGAGUGAAGUAGAGGUAAGCGGAAUUCCUAGUGUAGCGGUGAAAUGCGUAGAUAUUAGGAGGAACAUCAGUGGCGAAGGCGGCUUACUGGGCUUUAACUGACGCUGAGGCUCGAAAGCGUGGGGAGCAAACAGGAUUAGAUACCCUGGUAGUCCACGCCGUAAACGAUGAUUACUAGGUGUGGGGGGACUGACCCCUUCCGUGCCGCAGCAAACGCAAUAAGUAAUCCACCUGGGGAGUACGACCGCAAGGUUGAAACUCAAAGGAAUUGACGGGGGCCCGCACAAGCAGUGGAGUAUGUGGAUUAAUUCGAAGCAACGCGAAGAACCUUACCAGGUCUUGACAUCGUAUGCAUAGCUCAGAGAUGAGUGAAAUCUCUUCGGAGACAUAUAGACAGGUGGUGCAUGGUUGUCGUCAGCUCGUGUCGUGAGAUGUUGGGUUAAGUCCCGCAACGAGCGCAACCCUUACUGUUAGUUGCUACGCAAGAGCACUCUAGCAGGACUGCCGUUGACAAAACGGAGGAAGGUGGGGAUGACGUCAAAUCAUCAUGCCCCUUAUGACCUGGGCCUCACACGUACUACAAUGGCUGUAAACAGAGGGAUGCAAAGCCGCGAGGUGGAGCGAACCCCUAAAAGCAGUCUUAGUUCGGAUUGUAGGCUGCAACCCGCCUACAUGAAGUCGGAAUUGCUAGUAAUCGCAGAUCAGCAUGCUGCGGUGAAUACGUUCCCGGGCCUUGUACACACCGCCCGUCACGCCAUGGGAGUCGGUAACACCCGAAGCCUGUAGUCUAACCGCAAGGAGGACGCAGUCGAAGGUGGGAUUGAUGACUGGGGUGAAGUCGUAACAAGGUAGCCGUAUCGGAAGGUGCGGCUGGAUCACCUCCUUU